UACGAAGGGUGCAAGCGUUAAUCGGAAUUACUGGGCGUAAAGCGUGCGUAGGCGGUUUCUUAAGUCCGUUGUGAAAGCCCUGGGCUCAACCUGGGAACUGCGAUGGAUACUGAGGAGCUGGAGUACGGUAGAGGUGAGUGGAACUGCGAGUGUAGAGGUGAAAUUCGUAGAUAUUCGCAAGAACACCAGUGGCGAAGGCGGCUCACUGGCCCGGUACUGACGCUGAGGUGCGAAAGCGUGGGGAGCAAACAGG
rnacentral:rRNA from 1 species